rnacentral:rRNA from 1 species
GAUGAACGCUGGCGGCGUGCCUAAUACAUGCAAGUCGAGCGAACGGACGAGAAGCUUGCUUCUCUGAUGUUAGCGGCGGACGGGUGAGUAACACGUGGAUAACCUACCUAUAAGACUGGGAUAACUUCGGGAAACCGGAGCUAAUACCGGAUAAUAUUUUGAACCGCAUGGUUCAAAAGUAAAAGACGGUCUUGCUGUCACUUAUAGAUGGAUCCGCGCUGCAUUAGCUAGUUGGUAAGGUAACGGCUUACCAAGGCAACGAUGCAUAGCCGACCUGAGAGGGUGAUCGGCCACACUGGAACUGAGACACGGUCCAGACUACUACGGGAGGCAGCAGUAGGGAAUCUUCCGCAAUGGGCGAAAGCCCGACGGAGCAACGCCGCGUGAGUGAUGAAGGUCUUCGGAUCGUAAAACUCUGUUAUUAGGGAAGAACAUAUGUGUAAGUAACUGUGCACAUCUUGACGGUACCUAAUCAGAAAGCCACGGCUAACUACGUG